rnacentral:rRNA from 1 species
UGCUUACACAUGCAAGUCGAGCGGUAAGGCCCUUCGGGGUACACGAGCGGCGAACGGGUGAGUAACACGUGAGCAACCUGCCCCUGACUCUGGGAUAAGCGGUGGAAACGCCGUCUAAUACCGGAUACGACCUUCCGCCUCAUGGUGGAGGGUGGAAAGUUUUUUCGGUCAGGGAUGGGCUCGCGGCCUAUCAGCUUGUUGGUGGGGUAACGGCCUACCAAGGCGAUUACGGGUAGCCGGCCUGAGAGGGCGACCGGCCACACUGGGACUGAGACACGGCCCAGACUCCUGCGGGAGGCAGCAGUGGGGAAUAUUGCGCAAUGGGCGAAAGCCUGACGCAGCGACGCCGCGUGGGGGAUGACGGCCUUCGGGUUGUAAACCUCUUUUACCACCAACGCAGGCUCCGGGUUCUCUCGGGGUUGACGGUAGGUGGGGAAUAAGGACCGGCUAACUACGUGCCAGCAGCCGCGGUAAUACGUAGGGUCCGAGCGUUGUCCGGAAUUAUUGGGCGUAAAGAGCUCGUAGGCGGCGUGUCGCGUCUGCUGUGAAAGACCGGGGCUUAACUCCGGUUCUGCAGUGGAUACGGGCAUGCUAGAGGUAGGUAGGGGAGACUGGAAUUCCUGGUGUAGCGGUGAAAUGCGCAGAUAUCAGGAGGAACACCGGUGGCGAAGGCGGGUCUCUGGGCCUUACCUGACGCUGAGGAGCGAAAGCAUGGGGAGCGAACAGGAUUAGAUACCCUGGUAGUCCAUGCCGUAAACGUUGGGCGCUAGGUGUGGGGACUUU